CUCCCCAGUGCUGGGAUUAUAAACAUGCCGUGACACCUGCCUUUUUAUCACGGGUUCUGGAGAUCAAACUCAGGGUCUCACGCUCAUGCAGCAGUCACUUUGCCCACGGAGUCCUUUCUCCUUCUGCCUGUGCUGUCUUGUGGUCCCUAUUAGGGGCUCCUCUAGAACACGGAGGGCCUGCAACAUCUGGGGAGCGAUGACGUGAGAGCCAGGAGCCAAAGGGAACACAGGGCAACAGAGGAGGGAUUAAAGCGGCCAGGCUGCCAGAGGUGAGCAGAGCAGAUUAGAAGCAGGGCCUGACUCCAUCCUAAGGACUGGGUUUUCCUUGGGUGGGAGCCAGAUCUGAACAUUGUCUUUCAGAGCCGUGAUUUGGGGGCGUCAGCUGCACACGGCUUGUGCCCGUGAUGGGCAGCUUCCACAAAGGUCUUAGGAAAACCCACAUCCAGCCUGACGCUGCAAGACCGGCUGCCGAACGCUCAGCCAAGAGUGCUGACCGGGGACAAGCAAGCAGAACCUGAGCUCACAGCACCGAAGGGACAGAGCCUUGAGGACAGCUGUGUUCUGAUCACACCGCAGCAGCCACCGCAGCAGCAGGAUGGGAAAACAACAGAGAGGAAAACCAAUGAGAAGCCUGGAUGCCUCUGUGGAAAAUCCCAGCAAGGCUCUUGAGCACCAGCCAGGCUCAUCCCAUGGCUGUUCACACUUGGUGGAGAGGAGCCUCCGGGGAGGAUUUAGGACCAAACAGCUCCCGGGUGUGCUCAUGAGAAUGGGAGCGUGUUUGUUGCUAGAGCAAGUCCGGGGCCAAGGUCUUCAGGAGUUAAAUUUCUCCGACAAAAACAAGGCAAGGACAGAAGGGCUGAUUUCAGCUCGGAGCUGGAGGUGCAGUCCAUCAAGGUGGGAGAGAUGCGGUGGCAGGGGUGUGGAGCCGUUGGUACAAUAAUCGGCGUUUCCUGUCUCCGGGAUGAAUGGCGGCAAAAUCUGCACACACUGUAGCUGCAGCUGCUAGUAUGGGCUUGCUCGGUGGCAGCCCUGCCUCCCUCUGCAUGUAUGCAGCCAUGCAUCGCUCUGGGUCACAUCUAGGUAUUCCCUGCAUGUAUCCUACUCAUUCCAUUGUGCUGUUUCUAGUCUAUGCAGCAUACUGAAUCUACUAUGUGCUGUGUUGGAGCUCAGAGCCAAGUACGUGAUAUCGGAUCCUUCUACUCAAGGAAAGCAUAGCCAGUGAGAGAAGAGGUGCCUGAAUGAAAUCACCAAGUGCUAGUUUCUGUUUUUAUUGUUGGGGUUUUUCAAGACAGGGUUUCUCUGCAUAACAGCUCUGGCUGUCCUGGAACUCACUCUGUAGACCAGGCUGGCCUGGAACUCACAGAGAUCCGCCUGGCUCUGCCUCCCGAGGGCUGGGAUUAAAGGCGUGCACCACCACCGCCCGGCAACAUGCUAGUUUUCAAUUGUUAACUUGCCACAACCUAGAAUCACCCGAGAAGAGAGGGUGAUCUGAGGAAUUUUCCAGAUCAGUUUGACUUGUGGGCAUGUGUUGUGUAACAGUCUCCUCCCAGAUUAAAACAUUCCAUCCCGUAGGGAAGCUCCUUAAACAGGAAGGUAAACAACUUCAAAAUAGCUUCAGAAAGUCCCUGAAACCGACCAGAUUUGUUAUGCCCCUCCCUGCCAGAGUAAAAAAUAAAAAUGGAGAACGCUUUUCUGAGGAUCUCCGCCAAGCUGCGAAGAGGACUCUGAAGCCAGACCAGCUGCCAGGGAGAGGUUUAGACCAACUGAGGAGCCUGAAAAGGCCGCUGUCCAAGCUGCUGAGCUGCGUGCCGGCUGGGCAGUGUACUCCAGGUUCCAAGAUUUGUGAGCUGUCACCUGUGCUGGGGUGGGCUUUGGCGAUGCAGCUGUCUUUGAAGCAUUUCUGCUCCUGUAAGUAACCCCUCACCCAUAUUCCUGUGAGUAGCUCCCACAAAACCCACUGGCUCACCAAGUUGGACUUUGGCGGUAUUCACACUACGAUCUGUCAUGGGUUCCCUACUUGGGGUGGGUCGACAUGUGUGUUUCAUCUUAUCGGGAAAAGUUUCGUCACACAAGAGCAUGUCUGUGAGGACUUGUCUCGGUAGUUAAAUGAUAGAAAAAAGACUCAGCCCAAUGUGGGUGGCGCCGUUCCCUAGCCAGGGUGGCGGUGGCGUCCUGAACGAUGGAAGAGAUGGAAGAAGCUAGGCAAGAGUAAGCGAGCACAGACUCGCUCAUUUCUCUGAGCCCCCCACCUCAGACAGACACGAUACUUUAAGGCCCCUGCCUUGACUUCCCCAUUGUGAUGGACCUGGAACCGGGAGCUGUAACCUAGAUAAAGCCUUUCUUCAUUAAGUUCUUCUUACCAAGCUCUUUUAAACAGCAACAGAAAGGAAGCUGAAACAUCACGGAAACACAGAAGUUGGAGCGUGGGGACUGGCCUGGACAGUGGAGGGGGUGGGGGUCACAGGUAAGGACUGGACUGGGACGGUUCUUACUAGAGAGGCUGGGGGUGACCCUAUAUGUAAAAUAAGAAGUCGAUGGAGAACCAUCCUGGGAACUCUCAAGCCAAUGAAACUCUGUGGCCAGAAAUGGCAAACAAAGUAGAGAGGCCGAGGGUGGGAAUUAAGAAAACGGGAGCUGAAAACAAUAAAAAGAGGCCCGGAGCUCCUCCUGAAAUAGCUCUGUUCACAGCACUGGGCGCCACGAGGACAAAGCCUGGGCUUCAGCUGGACUUAAGGAUCAGGAUAGAAUAACAAAGGGAAACAGGUUUAAGAUGCGAUUAUGAUGCCACUGGAUACAGGAUGUGAAAUAGAAGGAGGCACCUGAGGUAAUCCUGGGUUCCACAGCAACUUCCUGGUAGGUACCUGGUUAUGAGUAACUGCCGUGCUGAUGAGGGAGAGGCAGCUCUGAGGAGAAAGGGCGAUUCCCCCCCGGCAAAUGAUGAGUUUGCAGUUCUUAAGGGACAGCCAGGAAGACUGAAUUGUCCUGCAGAUACUCGGAAAUGCAGGCCACACGCCACCAUCCAGUGGAUGCAUUUCGGAGCCCUGCACACACGGAGUCACCAGCCUGGAGCAAAGGACCCCAGAGGAAGUGUAUGCAGGCCUAAGACUGAACCUGGGAGAUUAUCACACCCACAGAGCAGGCUACUGAGUGAAAGGCAAUCUGCAUGAUCAGUGUCGGUGAAGGUGUGUCUGCAGAGGUGGAGGAAGAGGAGAAACUGAGGACAGGGUGGGUGGUGAGACCCACAGAGAAGAGACACAUGAGCGGGAGCUGUGGCUGGGGAAGCAGGCGGGUGACAGGAGAGGUUUUUGGAGCAGAGGGUCGUUGACAUGUGUGACAGACAUAGAAAAGGAGCCAGAGAAAGAGGCAGGGUUGACAGCUAAGGAGGGGGUGGUACUCACAGAGAACUGACUUCCAAGGAGGGACCAGGGAUGUUAAGUGCCAGGGCGGCCUCCAAAGAGCCAGGGCUCUUCUUCCCCCAAGGUUGAGAAAAAGCAGGAAGGAUGGAGGAGGAGCUGGGCAAGGAAUGGAGUUGUUGAGCAACAAAAACCAAUCCUACUCGCAGUAUGUGUGUGUAUGUGUGUGUGUGUGUGUCUGUCUGUGUGUAUGAGAGAGUGUGUGUGCGCAUGUGUGUGUGUAUGAGAGAGUGUGUGUGUCAGUGUGUGUCUAUGUCUGUGUGUGUGCAUGAGAGAGAGUGUAUGACUGUGCGUGUCUCUCUCUGUGUGUGUCUGUGUGUGUGUGAGAGAGAAAGCACACACAUUAGUUACUUUCUUCAUCCCUGUGACAAAACACUCAGCGAAAGCAGCUUAAGGAAGGGAGAGCUUAUUUGGCUCACAGUUUGAGGGACACAGUCCAUCAUGGUGGGAAGGAGUCUAAGGAAGCGGGUCAGCUUACAUCAUUAGUCAAGAGCUGCUGGUGUCCAGCUCUCUUUCUCUUUUUAUUUAGUCCAUGGGAUGGUGCCACCCACAUUUAGGAUGGGGCUUCCUACCUUUAUUAAGCCAAUCUCGAACCCCCUCAUAGACAGCAGUUCAGCUCCUGGGUGAUUUUAGAUCCUGUCCAUUUGACAGUGGAGAUUAACCAACAUGGUGUGUGUGUGCACGGUCCUGUGUGUAGGUGCAGGUGUGUGGAGGCCAGAGGACAAGCUUGGGUAUUGUUCUUCAGGAGCCACCCAUCUUGUGUUUGGAGACAGUCUGUCACUAAUUAGGUUAGGCUGGCUGGCCUUCUUGUCUCUGCUUUCCCAGGACCGAGAUUACAAGGGAGCACCAUCACACUGCCUCUUUACCUGCAGAUUCUGGGGAUGGAACCCAGGAGCCCUCGCUCAAAGGGUAAGCUCAAAACUAAGGAACCGGUUCCCUCUAUGUCCCAACCGGGGGCUUCUCUUCCUAAAGACAAGGGCAGCGUCUUUGAUUUCUUUUCCCACCAGUCCUGAGUGAAUGGGUCAUGAGUGGGUGUGGUCCUGCUGGUAACUUGACCUUUGACUCCCGUCAAGUUCAAGAAGCCGAGUUCUAAAAGCAAAGCGUGUUCUGGGCUCAGCAUCUCCUGGGAGCCGGGCUUUUUAUUUUUACUGAGCUCUCAGAGUGCUGUGAUUACAGUCUGAGAAAGGAUAAAAGAGAGGAGUGAGAAACCAGACUCUUUUCUUCCCUGUCUCGAGUGCCGUCGUCUUCAGAGUCAUACUGAGCUGGAAGGUCCCAGGGUGGACAUUUGGUACCUUUGUUCACUAGGCAUGAUUGCAGUCUCUGCCGGUCACAGCAGGGUGUACAGAACACUGCUCCUCCUAAACAUGGCUGAAUGAAGCCAUGAGCCACCACGAACCCAGAUUGGACUGACCUCACAGACUGGACUACAUGUUUGACACGGAUUUGCCAGAAAAUCUUUUCCGUACCACCAGCAAUUCCUUUGCUGACACUCACAGGAUUUAAAGCUCACCAUCUCCUUUCUUGGGACGUGGUUAUAGCCUGUCUAGCAUGUGAUAGGACUCUAGCUUUCCGUCAUGCCAUGGAGAUGUUGAUGCUCACCUGUGUCUCAUCUCUGAGUUCUGGAGAGGGCUCAGGAGGUAAAGCAUCUACUGUGUAAAGGUGAAGAACAGUCUGGACCCGCAACACCCGUGUACAAAGGACAGAAGAGCAUCUGUAAAGCUGGCCCUGGGUGGGCUGGAGGCAGGUGGUUCCGAAGGACUCACUGGCCAGUCUUCUAGUCCACUCAGUGGUCUUCAGGUUUAGUCCAGUUGAUCAUCUCUCUGUCUCAAAGAAUAAGGUAGAGUGGCUAGAGACACGGCUUAAAGGUUAAUGGCACUUGUUGAUCUUACAGAGGACCUGGGUUUGGUUCCCAUCACCCACAUGUUGACUCACACCCAUCCAUAACUCUAGUUCCAGGGGAUCUGAUGUCUUCUUCUGACCUCUGCUCGCACCAAGCACACGCGUGGUACACAGACAUACAGGCAGGCAAAACAUAACAUAACAAAACAAAAGGGUGGAGAAUGAUAGAGGUGACACCUGACAUCCACCUCUGGUCGUCACAUGAGCAUGCACAUACACAUUCCUACACGCAUAUGCAGAUACACUGAAAAACAUACGUGUAACAUAAACGUGUGUCCACAAUACACACAAGCAAAUUUUAAGUUCUUAGAAAGUACGAACUGUGACUGAUUCACCUUCAUGUUCCUAUCUCAUCAAACAGAUUAUACUGAAUAAAUAAUUGUUCUUCAAUAAA